rnacentral:lncRNA from 1 species
CUCCGAUUUAACAGAGUGUUGGAAGUUCUGGCCAGAGCAAUCAAUCAGGCAGGAGAAGGAAAUAAAGGGUAUUCAAUUAGGAAAAGAGGAAGUCAAAUUGUCCCUGUUUGCAGAUGACAUGAUUUUAUAUCUAGAAAACCCCAGUGUCUCAGCCCAAAAUCUCCUUAUGUUGAUAAGCAACUUCAGCAAAGUCUCAGGAUACAAAAUAAAUGUACAAAAAUCACAAGCAUUCUUAUACACCAAUAACAGACAAACAGAGAGCCAAAUCAUGAGUGAACUCCCAUUCACAAUUGCUUCAAAGAGAAUAAAAUACCUAGGAAUCCAACUUACAAGGGACGUGAAGGACCUCUUCAAGGAGAACUACAAAACACUGCUCAAGGAAAUAAAAGAGGAUACAAAGAAAUGGAAGAACAUUCCAUGCUCAUGGGUAGGAAGAAUCAAUAUCGUGAAAAUGGCCAUACUGCCCAAGGUAAUUUAUAGAUUCAAUGCCAUCCCCAUCAAGUUACCAAUGACUUUCUUCACAGAAUUGGAAAAAACUACUUUAAAGUUCAUAAGGAACCAAAAAAGAGCCCACAUCGCCAAGUCAAUCCUAAGCCAAAAGAACAAAGUUGGAGGCAUCACACUACCUGACUUCAAACUAUACUACAAGCCUACAGUAACCAAAACAGCAUGGUACUGGUACCAAAACAGAGAUAUAGAUCAAUGGAACAGAACAGAGCCUCAGAAAUAAUGCCGCAUAUCUAAAACUAUCUGAUCUUUGACAAACCUGAGAAAAACAAGCAACGGGGAAAGGAUCCCCUAUUUAAUAAAUGGUGCUGGGAAAACUGGCUAGCCAUAUGUAGAAAGCUGAAACUGGAUCCCUUCCUUACACCUUAUACAAAAAUUAAUUCAAGAUGGAUUAAAGACUUAAACAUUAGACCUAAAACCAUAAAAACCCUAGAAGAAAACCUAGGCAUUACCAUUCAGGAUAUAGGCAUGGGCAAGGACUUCAUGUCUAUAACACCAAAAGCAAUGGCAACAAAAGCCAAAAUUGUCAAAUAGGAUCUAAUUAAACUAAAGAGCUUCUGCACAGCAAAAGAAACUACCAUGAGAGUGAACAGGCAACCUACAAAAUGGGAGAAAAUUUUCGCAACCUACUCAUCUGACAAAGGGCUAAUAUCCAGAAUCUACAAUGAACUCAAACAAAUUUACAAGAAAAAAACAAAAACCCCAUCAAAAAGUGGGCAAAGGACAUGAACAGACACUUCUCAAAAGAAGACAUUUAUGCAGCCAAAAAACACAUGAAAAAAUGCUCACCAUCACUGGCCAUCAGAGAAAUGCAAAUGAAAACCACAAUGAGAUAGCAUCUCACACCAGUUAGAAUGGCAAUCAUUAAAAAGUCAGGAAACAACAGGUGCUGGAGAGGAUGUGGAGAAAUAGGAACACUUUUACACUGUUGGUGGGACUGUCAACUAGUUCAACCAUUGUGGAAGUCAUUUUGGAGAUUCCUCAGGGAUCUAGAACUAGAAAUACCAUUUGACCCAGCCAUCCCAUUACUGGGUAUAUACCCAAAGGGCUAUAAAUCAUGCUGCUAUAAAGACACAUGCACACGUAUGUUUAUUGAGGCACUAUUCACAAUAGCGAAGACUUGGAACCAACCCAAAUGUCCAACAAUGAUAGACUGGUUUAAGAAAACGUGCCACAUAUACACCACGGAAUACUAUGCAGCCAUAAAAAAGUAUGAGUUCAUGUCCUUUAUAGGGACAUGGAUGAAAUUGGAAAUCAUCAUUCUCAGUAAACUAUAGCAAGGACAAAAAACCAAACACCGCAUGUUCUCACUCAUAGGUGGGAAUUGAACAAUGAGAAUGCAUGGACACAGGAAGGGGAAUACUACACUCUGGGGACUGUUGCGGGGUGGGGGGAGGGGGAGGGAUAGGUUUAGGAGAUAUAGCUAAUGCUAAAUGACGAGUUAAUGGGUGCAGCACACCAGCAUGGCACAUGUAUACAUAUGUAACUAACCUGCACAUUGUGCACAUGUACCCUAAAACUUAAAGUGUAAUAAUAAUAAAAAAAAGAAUAAUUGUAAACUCAUGUCAUAAUGGGAACUGGCAAAUGGCCUUAAAAGUAAUUUGCCCUAAGUGUUUCAUAUGAUAAUAUCGCAAAAACGAGGGAGAUUAAGAAACUAAGACUUUCUUAAAGUCAUAAAUAUCAUAUGUCGAUUCUCAGGUUCUGAGGUGUAUUGCUGUAUUUUUAUUUAUCUAUAAUUCUUUGUGUUCCUGUGUCAUAUAAAAAAUGUAGACUAUGUAAUGUACAGUGAAGAAUCCAAAGGACCUAAAACAUUAUUUUAGAAGUUUGAAUUUUUGAAUAGUAGAUUAUCAUACAGUAGGGAAGCUUAAUGGAACAAGUCUUCACUAUUUUCUGCAAAUGCCUUUUAUAUGUUUAACAUAUGAGAUAUGUUUACUUGGUUAUAUACCAAGUAAAUAUUAAAAGACUACAUUUGCGAAAUUAAAUGCAAUUCUUUAAAGAUAGAUGCUUUAUUUAAGAAAGUUUUUGUUGGUCAGUUUUUUUACUUAUGUGUUGACAGUGGUAACUCUAACACAAACUUAAGCCAAUGUUUUAAAUAUUUUAAAAUUAUUGGAAAAAGCAUUGACACAUCCACUGAUGAAAUGUGUUAAAAAUCAAAUUUUAUUUUUUACUUAAAUAAUUUUAAAAUCCUGAAUUUAAACUUUUUAAAAUGUAUUUUCAAAAAUUUAUCCCAAUCUUGCAUAUAAUUGCGGUAUAUCUCUCACAGGAUCCAGUGAAUAAUUUAUUUCACAAUAUUCCUCUGAUUUUGGCCACAGUGAUAAAUGUCUGAAAUAAUCAUUGCUUUGUUUAAGUUUACAUUACCUUGGUUAGUUAGUAGGGUGGUAAAAUAAAAAUUUUAAUAAAAUCUGUUUUUGAAAAACUCAACUAAUCACAGUAAUAAAUAUAUUUAUAAAUAAAAUAAAAAUAAACU